rnacentral:rRNA from 1 species
GUGGGGAAUAUUGGACAAUGGGGGGAACCCUGAUCCAGCCAUGCCGCGUGUGUGAAGAAGGCCUUUUGGUUGUAAAGCACUUUAAGCGAGGAGGAGGCUACCGAGAUUAAUACUCUUGGAUAGUGGACGUUACUCGCAGAAUAAGCACCGGCUAACUCUGUGCCAGCAGCCGCGGUAAUACAGAGGGUGCAAGCGUUAAUCGGAUUUACUGGGCGUAAAGCGCGCGUAGGUGACCAAUUAAGUCAAAUGUGAAAUCCCCGAGCUUAACUUGGGAAUUGCAUUCGAUACUGGUUGGCUAGAGUAUGGGAGAGGAUGGUAGAAUUCCAGGUGUAGCGGUGAAAUGCGUAGAGAUCUGGAGGAAUACCGAUGGCGAAGGCAGCCAUCUGGCCUAAUACUGACACUGAGGUGCGAAAGCAUGGGGAGCAAACAGGAUUAGAAACCCGAGUAGUCC